UGUGCAUUAUGCAUGUCAGAAUAGCUGAUGUAAUACGCAGUGACAUGGGGAUUCAGGUCAACAGGUGUUUAUAACACAGAUUUGAAGAAAAACUAUCUCAAUCUCGCGUUUGUGUUGGACUAUUAUUGAAAAGCAUUUUUUUUUUUGCAAUUAUGUUUUCAACAAAUGUUCAAAAUGGACGAUCUUGGAAAUAGCAAAAUUCACUUAAGAUGCAGGGCAGGUUUAACUCGUUAAUUACCUGUUUAGUUUUGCUAGGGUUUCAAGUGUCGACGGUUUACUUGGUCGAGCCGGUUCCAUAUCUAAUUAAGAUUUUAAAACUUUCGUCUAUGUGCGGCCCAGAGAAAUACUUUAACAACUACAUAAAUGGAGGUGGGCAAUGCAAGAAGUGUUGACCCUGUGCUAAGGGCCUUGUUGAAGUGUUACCAUGUAAUAAGAAUGGGAAUACCAGGUGCCGACCUUGUCCACCAGGAACAUUUAAUGAUAGAAGAAACGGUGUUUGCAAUAACUGCACAGUUUGUGAAAACACAAGAUGCCGCAAAUGUCCUGACGGGACUUUCUCUGUUGAUGGAACUAGAUCGGCAUGUAAAUAUUGUAAAACUUGCAGCAAAAUUUAGGACGAGAUUUUACCUUGCACAACGGAAAACGAUCGAGUAUGCACAAAAAAUAGUCAGAUGGACUCCGCACAAUCUGAAGUAAUAAGCAUAGAGACAGAAGUUGCAGACAAUGAUGAAUUUAACACACAUACCCGAUUGGUUCUGGUUGCCACUUGCACAACGAUUUUAUUUGCCUUCUUAAUUGUCCUUCUCGCUUGGACGUUACAAACAUACCGCCAUUUUGCCGACCGGUAUCAGUUGACGCAAUGUAAAAUUUGUGUCCUUUAACACGUGGCCUAUCCAAUUAGUAUUCGUUUAUAGCCUACUCAUUUCAUGGAAUAGUUCCUCAUUUUCAUAAUCGACAAAGAAACAAGGUACUGAAUGUUGAAGUUAAAAUGCUUUUUUUCUGCGGUGGUUCAAUAAAUUAUUGUUUCAGGCUAUAAUAUUUUCGCUGGUUACUGUAUAUAUAUUUAAUGCGACACAUGAAUGCCUUAUUUUCACAUCUAACUUAAUGCUGUUUUUAUUCAUGUGUCCAUUGUUAUGAUGUAUUUGUGUAUAUUAUAUGUCUGUAUAAACAUGUGCGUGCUUUUUGUAGGUAUCAAAGUUCUUUGAAGGUGUAUGUGUAUAUGAUGUUAAAUUAUACAUAACAUAUCAAUGUCCAUCGUGCUAGCAAGUCGAUAUAUCGAAUGAUUCCGGUCAAAUGAGGUUUCAAUCAUAAAACGCUAAACAAACAAGUAAGUAAUUAAAACAGAUACCAUUCAUAUAUGUUUUGUUAUAUAGAAAACAAGCCAAAUAAAAAUGUAUCAUUGACUUCAAGAAGAAACAAACUAUAAGAUAGAUGUUUGUGGGGUACGCCACCAUUUAUUGAAUGAAUAAUUGAAAGGGCGAACGUGUUAGCAAAAGAAAUACUCAUAGAUUAAACAUUUUUUCAGACCAGUCAGAAACGCAUGAAGACAGGUCUUUUCCAGGUAAAGAUUAAAGAUCACGCGAGGUUGUUGUCAAAUUUUGAGGCGUGGUUGUAGUAAAAAAUCAUCGGGAUCAAUAUGUUAAUAUGUUUAUUUUUACGUGAAUAUUAUUCGAAGUUGGCAUUACGUAUUACAACGACAAACAGUUCAAACAUGUAUUCGAACGAAUCGUGUUUAUGUUCAAGCAGUCGUUUUUGUCUGUAAUUUGUUUUGAAUGGAAGCACAUUUUCGAACAAUCAGCCUUAAAGUUCAUGAAAACGUUUCAAAAAGAGGAUGACAAUGUUUCUACUAAACGGUUAGUUGUUUAUUUUCAAGAAUAUCGUUAGCUGUUGUUAUUUCCCUUUUUAAUCCACAUAUUUCAUCGAAAAGCAUGACACAAAUGAUAUUUAUUUUCCUUACCGUGACGGCCUUCAUUAAAACAUGGACAAAGGUUUUUAUAUUACGCUCAAUGACAAUUACAAGAAGUAUGAAUGAUGUUCUAAACAACGUCUUACGUCGGACAUUUUUAAUUUUGAGUGUUUGCGAUCUAAGUGGCAAUGGUUAACACACUAUUUCAUUUAAAUAACUAUAUUAGAGGAGGACUACGGGAGCGAACUGUGGAAUAAUCUUCAUAAUUACAAGGUAUAAACUCUUAAAAGAGUCCACAGAAGCUGCGAUACAUGCAGAAUAUACCCAAAGUUGCAAUUGCUUAGGAUUUAAUGGACUCCACAGAGCUAUGCAUUCGUAAAAGAAAGAUUAUAUUUUUGUUUAAACAUGCCGAGUAGUUACAUGUAAGAUUAAAGAUAGAUUUAAGUAUGUAAUGAAUUUAUUUUGGGCAUAAAAUGAGUCUUCUUUGUCAAUUAUUUCAUAUAAUUUACUCAUUUGGACUCUAAAUCUAAAAUUUGCUUACACAGAUGCCCUUUCUGAAUUUAAUUAAAUCACACUAUAAUUUGUGUUACAUACAUUUCGGAUGUUCUUGGUUUCAGCAAAUAAUGUUGCCGCUUUUACUAUUCGCUCUAUAUAGCGUACUGAAUUAGAAAUAUAUUAUAUCCAUUGCUUUUUUAGAAGAUUACAUGAUAUGUGGAUUUACGGAAAGGGUGGCGUUUCCGUUAUUGGCAAAAGCAAUGAUGUGAACGGAAUGUAUCCUAUUGUGUUUAAGGAUGAAUUGUUGAGGUAUCGACUUCCGCCUUUCCAAUAAACCAAUAACUUAUUUGGAACGGCUUAGUAGAAAUUAAAGUGUCUUAAAGGUAGUCGAUCAUGUUUUGGGACCAAUAAUUUGUUAUUUGAUAAUGCAUCUGAAAACACUUAAUUUAUCAUUAUUUUAC